CUCGUAGGCGGCCAACUAAGUCAGACGUGAAAUCCCUCGGCUUAACCGGGGAACUGCGUCUGAUACUGGAUGGCUUGAGGUUGGGAGAGGGAUGCGGAAUUCCAGGUGUAGCGGUGAAAUGCGUAGAUAUCUGGAGGAACACCGGUGGCGAAGGCGGCAUCCUGGACCAAAUCUGACGCUGAGGAGCGAAAGCCAGGGGGAGCAAACGG
rnacentral:rRNA from 1 species